rnacentral:tRNA from 1 species
GUGCGCGAUGCCGCGCGGCGCGGGCCGGCGUGGGCGCUCGCGGCGCUCAUGGGCGGCUACUACCUGCUGGCCGUGAUCGCCUUCCGGCUGGCGCCC